rnacentral:rRNA from 1 species
AGCUCCAAUAGCGUAUAUUAAAGUUGUUGCAGUUAAAAAGCUCGUAGUUGGAUUUCUGGGCCAAGCCGUCGGUCCGCCGCUGUGCGGUGCGUACUCGAUCGGUCUUGACUCAUCCUUGCAGGGAAGCGCAUUUCGGCAUUCAGUUGUCGGGGCGGGGAACUGCAUCUUUUACUGUGAAAAAUUAGAGUGUUUAAAGCAGGCAUUUUGCUGUGAAUACAUUAGCAUGGAAUAAUAACAUAGGACCUGGGUUCUAUUUUGUUGGUUGGAGACCAAGGUAAUGAUUAAUAGGGACAGUUGGGGGUAUUCAUAUUUAAUUGUCAGAGGUGAAAUUCUUGGAUUUAUGAAAGAUGAACUCAUGCGAAAGCAUUUACCAAGGAUGUUUUCA